rnacentral:rRNA from 1 species
UACAGAGGUCCCAAGCGUUGUUCGGAUUCAUUGGGCGUAAAGGGUGCGUAGGCGGCGCGGUAAGUCGGGUGUGAAAUCUCGGGGCUUAACUCCGAAACUGCAUUCGAUACUGCCGUGCUUGAGGACUGGAGAGGAGACUGGAAUUUACGGUGUAGCAGUGAAAUGCGUAGAGAUCGUAAGGAAGACCAGUGGCGAAGGCGGGUUUCUGGACAGUUACUGACGCUGAGGCACGAAGGCCAGGGGAGCAAACGGG